CUAUGGUUUGUUGGAUCCUGCUGUAUUAGCACAUAAGCUGGCUGGGAAGGUUGCAAAUUGCAAUCAUGUUCUUCAAACCAUCAUUCAACAAAUAUUCAUAUAUUGAGGACUACUUGUAUUCCAGCAUACCUGGAGUUUUGCUGAAAACCUUAAAAUGAAGUCACCUGACUGUGGGAUACUGCAAACAGUGGCCCUAACCUUGUUGCCGAAUGCUCAAACUGAGGUCACACCACCACAAGGGGGUGGUGGCCAUUGGAACGUCACAUCUGCAUCAUAAGUCCCCUUUUCAGGUAUGUCAUAACUUCAAUGGUUGCUAAGCAACCGGUUGUAAGUCAAGGAGUACCUACAUUGGCUUUCCAGAUAUUUCUAAACUGCAGUUCUCAACACUUUUCACCAUUGUUCAUAGUGGCUGAGCUGCAGUCAAUCAGAUUGCUUUUCCACAACCCUCAAUCAAUUUCACAAGUUCCAUAAGAUAAUUGAAGAAGGCUUAGCUUCUACAGCUUUUUCAGGACAUAUUUGUCUCAUUUGUGUUAUUUGUUUUUAUUUUAAUUGAUAUGAGCCAUCUUAUCCUACAUUUACAAAUAUUUCCAAGGAUUGGAUUUUUUGGUGUGUGGUUUUAUCAUAUGCUUUCAGAUUUCUAAAUACACAAAUUUUAUUGCUAACCUUGAAACAUUGCUGUAAUUUUAUAUGAAGUUUUCUAAAACCUAUGGUUGAAUAUAAAUGUUUCAAAUACAAAAAUUACAAUGUUCAUCUAUCCUAGUAUCUGCUAAAUAUUUUGGACCAAAACUCCCAUUAUUAUUAGUCCACUUGAUCACCUAUUGACAAUGCUAAGAAUAAAAUAGAAGGUGUCCAGCUGAGGGAAGCUGGCUAUUAAUUCACUGUCAUGUGCCUGCUUAAUAGAUAUCAAACAACUACAGAUUUUGGUUCUCUUCCAACCCUCCUGAUUUUAUUUUGAUAGAUUUUAGACUUCAAAAAAUGUGAACAAUGAUUUGCCUUUUGCCUUCUUCCCAGAUGGUUUUGAAAAGUCCGUACUGCAAUCUAGCAACACCACUUUUGAUAUAGUCCACUUUAUAUAUUUUCAAAUGUCCAUCAUACUGCAUUCACAGCUAUAGUCUAGUUGACCAGCAUGGCUUAAAAAACAGCUCUGUAUUCUCCUCCCCUGCUUUUUUCCCUGGAUCAUAAUUUUUUAUGUUAUCAGAUUGCUUGAGUUUCAAAGGAAGAGAGGUUCACAUAUGCUGCAUCAAUUUAAUUAUUCUGUUUUAUUCCAUGAUGAGAAGUUACUAAUUUUUUUUAAAAAAAUGAUCAUUUAAACAUGAAGCUAAAACAUAAAUUGUUAAUAUUGUGAUUUAAACAGUAUAGACAAAAGGCAGAUUAUGAAAUUGCUCAAACAAGAUUAAUUUGGUUACGACUUACGGUGAUCGGCAUUCAAAAAUAACUUGAAAGAGCUGCUAAUAGGCUAAGCAACAAAUAGUAAAGUUGGCCUUCACAAGGGCUCCAGCAGACCAAAUUAUGAUGGAUUGUCUGGGAAUAACCCUGUAGUAGAAAACCAAGUGAGUAAAAAAUGUGCAAAAGUGUAAGAAAUGUUCUCAGAGCAAGUUUUCCUUGUGGAAAACUUAACAGAAUGCAGUCAGGAGGACCAUCUGCUUACAGACUAAUGGAAUAAUCUGCCUGGAAUCCUCUCCAGUUUGAAGCCAUCCUGAACAACGGGAUAUAUACCCUAUUUUUGCACAGCUAUGGCAGUUCCCAACCAUAGCUUAGUGAACAGACAUUUGGAGGUACAAGCUUCCUGCCCCCAGUUAUCAGGACCUCAAAGAUCCAAGGUAACCUACUAAGUUGGACAGAUCAAUGAUCCUAUUUGAUUUAGGAAAACUUUGCAUGCUUUUGCCCUGAUAAUACUUUAGAGUCAAAACCUAGAUGAGCAUCACUUCUACAACAGAUAGAACAGGUGGAUGGUGGGAAUACACAUACGCACAUACUGUAUAACUAAGUAACAA